rnacentral:rRNA from 1 species
CAAAGAGGGGGACCUUCGGGCCUCUCGCGUCAGGAUAUGCCUAGGUGGGAUUAGCUAGUUGGUGAGGUAAGGGCUCACCAAGGCGACGAUCCCUAGCUGGUCUGAGAGGAUGAUCAGCCACACUGGAACUGAGACACGGUCCAGACUCCUACGGGAGGCAGCAGUGGGGAAUAUUGCACAAUGGGCGCAAGCCUGAUGCAGCCAUGCCGCGUGUGUGAAGAAGGCCUUCGGGUUGUAAAGCACUUUCAGUCGUGAGGAAGGUGGUAGUGUUAAUAGCACUAUCAUUUGACGUUAGCGACAGAAGAAGCACCGGCUAACUCCGUGCCAGCAGCCGCGGUAAUACGGAGGGUGCGAGCGUUAAUCGGAAUUACUGGGCGUAAAGCGCAUGCAGGUGGUUUGUUAAGUCAGAUGUGAAAGCCCGGGGCUCAACCUCGGAAUUGCAUUUGAAACUGGCAGACUAGAGUACUGUAGAGGGGGGUAGAAUUUCAGGUGUAG